CAGUCGCCGCGGUAAUACGUAGGUGGCAAGCGUUGUCCGGAAUUAUUGGGCGUAAAGCGCGCGCAGGUGGUUUAAUAAGUCUGAUGUGAAAGCCCACGGCUCAACCGUGGAGGGUCAUUGGAAACUGUUAAACUUGAGUGCAGGAGAGAAAAGUGGAAUUCCUAGUGUAGCGGUGAAAUGCGUAGAGAUUAGGAGGAACACCAGUGGCGAAGGCGGCUUUUUGGCCUGUAACUGACACUGAGGCGCGAAAGCGUGGGGAGCAAACAGGAUUAGAUACCCCUGUAGUCCCUGUCUCUUAUAC
rnacentral:rRNA from 1 species